rnacentral:rRNA from 1 species
UACAGAGGGGGCAAGCGUUGUUCGGAAUUACUGGGCGUAAAGGGCGCGUAGGUGGCCUUCUAAGUUGAACGUGAAAUCCCUGGGCUCAACCCAGGAACUGCGUCCAAGACUGGGAGGCUUGAAUCCGGGAGAGGGAUGCGGAAUUCCAGGUGUAGCGGUGAAAUGCGUAGAUAUCUGGAGGAACACCGGUGGCGAAGGCGGCAUCCUGGACCGACACUGACGCUGAGGAGCGAAAGCCAGGGAAGCAAACGGG